rnacentral:lncRNA from 1 species
UUGCAUUUAUUCUGUUGCCUUCUCUAAGCAAAAAUUAGGCAUAUCAGUGCAGUAAUUAAAGAAAUAAUGGAGAAAAAGCUAACCAAAACUGAAAAAUACAGCGGCAAUUCAAUUUAUUUUACUAAAAAAGACAGCGACAGAACAUGAAAGAAGCGACGAAGUAGUAAUGUGUUCUUAAAGUAAUAUUGAGGCAAUAAAGCAUAUUGCAUGCUAGAAAAUUCUAGGUUUAUUGAGAAAUCAAGCUAAUAAAUUGCAUAUAAUCAACAUAGAAACCCCAAAUCAACAAAAAACUCCAAAUAAAUAGAGAAACCUAAAAUCCAACAAGAAUACCCAAAACAACACAAAAAUAAAGUGAAAAUCCAUAUGUAAUUUACAAAAUACAAAAUACUUGGUUACCCAAAUAAAUAGAGAAACCUCAAAACCAACAGAGAAUACCCAAAACAACACAAAAAUAAAGUGAAAACCCACAUAUAAUUUACAAAAUACAAAAUACCUGGUUACACAAAAUCGAAAUUGGAGAAGAUGAAAGACAAAUUGCAAAUAAACUGGAGAAGAUGAACACCGUGGAUUUUCUAGCCAAAAAUCCACACUAGGACUGAAGAACACCGGUAAUUUGGUGAGAAGGCAUCGAUUCACAGUCCAAUUUGGUGAGAGAGAGGCAGUGGCUUGGAGACUGUAGAGAGAGAGUGAGAUAGACGGAAAAAAGGUUUAGAUUUUGGCGG